UACGUAGGGUGCAAGCGUUGUCCGGAAUUAUUGGGCGUAAAGAGCUCGUAGGCGGCUUGUCACGUCGGCUGUGAAAACCUAAGGCUCAACCUUGGGCUUGCAGUGGGUACGGGCAGACUAGAGUGCGGUAGGGGUGACUGGAAUUCCUGGUGUAGCGGUGGAAUGCGCAGAUAUCAGGAGGAACACCGAUGGCGAAGGCAGGUCACUGGGCCGCAACUGACGCUGAGGAGCGAAAGCAUGGGGAGCGAACAGG
rnacentral:rRNA from 1 species